ACCGCAUUCUGAAAGCAAUUCCUCCGUCAUUGUUGCCCGUUACGUGACAUCGUCGCUAGAGGAGCCGGAAGCACUCAACGACGCUUUCUACCGUGGACUGUUACAUCGGUAGCUAGCGCGCAAUCAUACGUAUUGACUGACGUUAUUACACUUGGCCGACGUGGUCAAGUGUAAAUUCCGUCACGUGAUGUAAUAAGUUUGCAAAGUCGUAUGGGGGGAAAGUGAUUUUUCGAUCGCACUUUCGUUCCACGCUGUGGAAGAGAAAGAGAAACGGGUAAAACGCGAUGGAAACUAGUUCGUGGAUUUUUUUUUCUUUUUUUUUUUUUUCUAUCCCACCAUCAAGUGGAAUUAAACGCAGGUGAAAACCAGUUCGGUUUAUCUUUUCUUAUCUUACAAUUGGAACGAAUCGAUCUGUGCGGUUUCGAGCAUUGAACUUGAUUAUUUUAUUGCACAUGGUUGAACGCAAUCAAAACCAAACGUUUAUUGCAAUAUAUUACUUUUCAUGGGAAAAACGUAAUAGCAUAUUUUAUUUUCUACUAAAUAAGCUAAUAAAUAUGCUUUUCCUUUGCGGAAAAGAAGAAAAUAUAAUAUUUUGAAUCACUUCGAGGAUGAAUAUAUUCUUUUACGUAAGAUAAAUGAAAUCUGCUAUUUUCAGAUAUAAGAAAAUAACGUACAAUAAAAUUAAAAAUAGGAAAAUAACAAAAUUAUAUUUCUAAUGAAAUCCAAAAUAUUAUUUAAUUCGAAUUUUCAAAAUUUCAAAAAAUAAAAUAAUAAUAAUAAAAAAAAUUUUAAUACUCUUAUUUCAACAUCAAAAACUGUUACAAAAUUUUGUAAAAAUUACUUAUUUACAACUUUCUAUUAUAAUUUAUACUCUAAAUAUAUCGAAAAAUAAUAUUUUCAAUGUUAACAAAUACUUAUGUGUUGUAAUUAUUUUUAAGUUUAUUUUUUGCAAAUAGAAAAUAAAAGAAAAGAAAUUCA